ACAGACAGCUAGGUAUCCUGUUGAUUUGAUUGGUCCUUGCAGCAGGUGGCUUCACUGAGGAGUCAAAAACUACCACUGUUGUGCAACGAUUCACGGGAGAAGCAGAGGCACGAACACCUGGUUCUCUCAACCUUCCGCAACAGCUGGUGAAAAAGCAGGGGCAAAACAAGUUGUUUCAGGGAGGUGAGGAAGAUGUCCAGGAACUGGUUGGUCGAGUGAGGCAGCUAGAGAAGGCUGCGAUCAACUCCCAGAAAGACAGCAUCAGCCUCACUGUGAGUCACCCCGAGCCACACUUUGCACUGGCUCAGCCUGAGCCUGGUGCACAUAGCGCUUUCUCCGCAGCCUGGGCAGAGAUGGGCACCCACUGAAAGCCUGGGGUGGGCCUACCCUCCCUCUUGGCCAUCCCUGCCCGUCUGGUGAAAGAUGGGACAGAUGCCCAGGCCCUCAGCCAGCCAGCUCCGGAGAGAACCAAGGCCCUGUGCCCUAGACCCUGAUGCCCCUUCCUUUGGCGGUCUGGAGUGGCAGGUGGGCAGCACUUGACAGCAGGGAGAUCUCCUGUGACUCAUUUAGCUGUCUGACCUGUUCCUCCAGUUGUAAACCACAGGUCGUCCACCUGUGGGAGCUGAGUUAAGGUCAAACGAGGAGAGGCAGAAGACCAGGGGGACAGGGAUGCUGUGUGGGAGGUGUGGUGAGGGUGUCCAGCAUUUUCCAGGCAGCAAGUAAGUACCAUCGUGGCCUUGAUCUAAUCUGGGGCAGUUCUGUAUGUAUCCGGGUGCUUCUGGCUCCAAGUACAGAUGUGCCUCCAUUUACUGCAGGGUUACAUCCCCAAGCCCAUCCUAAAUUGAAAGC
rnacentral:lncRNA from 1 species